rnacentral:rRNA from 1 species
UACGAAGGGGGCUAGCGUUGCUCGGAAUCACUGGGCGUAAAGGGUGCGUAGGCGGGUCUUUAAGUCAGGGGUGAAAUCCUGGAGCUCAACUCCAGAACUGCCUUUGAUACUGAAGAUCUUGAGUUCGGGAGAGGUGAGUGGAACUGCGAGUGUAGAGGUGAAAUUCGUAGAUAUUCGCAAGAACACCAGUGGCGAAGGCGGCUCACUGGCCCGAUACUGACGCUGAGGCACGAAAGCGUGGGGAGCAAAACAG